rnacentral:rRNA from 1 species
AGUGAACGCUGGCGGUAGGCCUAACACAUGCAAGUCGAACGGCAGCACAGUAAGAGCUUGCUCUUACGGGAGGCGAGUGGCGGACGGGUGAGGAAUACAUCGGAAUCUACUUUUUCGUGGGGGAUAACGUAGGGAAACUUACGCUAAUACCGCAUACGACCUACGGGUGAAAGCAGGGGAUCUUCGGACCUUGCGCGAUUGAAUGAGCCGAUGUCGGAUUAGCUAGUUGGCGGGGUAAAGGCCCACCAAGGCGACGAUCCGUAGCUGGUCUGAGAGGAUGAUCAGCCACACUGGAACUGAGACACGGUCCAGACUCCUACGGGAGGCAGCAGUGGGGAAUAUUGGACAAUGGGCGCAAGCCUGAUCCAGCCAUACCGCGUGGGUGAAGAAGGCCUUCGGGUUGUAAAGCCCUUUUGUUGGGAAAGAAAAGCAGCAGGUUAAUACCCCGCUGUCCUGACGGUACCCAAAGAAUAAGCACCGGCUAACUUCGUG